rnacentral:tRNA from 1 species
GCCGGAGUGGCGGAACAGGCAGACGCGCACGACUCAAAAUCGUGUGGGGAAACCCGUGUGGGUUCGACUCCCACCUUCGGCA